rnacentral:rRNA from 1 species
AGUGAACGCUGGCGGUAGGCCUAACACAUGCAAGUCGAACGGCAGCACAGUAAGAGCUUGCUCUUACGGGUGGCGAGUGGCGGACGGGUGAGGAAUACAUCGGAAUCUACUUUUUCGUGGGGGAUAACGUAGGGAAACUUACGCUAAUACCGCAUACGACCUACGGGUGAAAGCAGGGGAUCUUCGGACCUUGCGCGAUUGAAUGAGCCGAUGUCGGAUUAGCUAGUUGGCGGGGUAAAGGCCCACCAAGGCGACGAUCCGUAGCUGGUCUGGGAGGAUGAUCAGCCACACUGGAACUGAGACACGGUCCAGGCUCCUACGGGAGGCCGCAGUGGGGAAUAUUGGACAAUGGGCGCAAGCCUGAUCCAGCCAUACCGCGUGGGUGAAGAAGGCCUUCGGGUUGUAAAGCCCUUUUGUUGGGAAAGAAAAGCAGCAGGUUAAUACCCCGCUGUUCUGACGGUACCCAAAGAAUAAGCACCGGCUAACUUCGUG